rnacentral:rRNA from 2 species
GUGAUAUGAACCGUUAUAACCGGCGAUACCCGAAUGGGGAAACCCAGUGUGAUUCGUCACACUAUCAUUAACUGAAUCCAUAGGUUAAUGAGGCGAACCGGGGGAACUGAAACAUCUAAGUACCCCGAGGAAAAGAAAUCAACCGAGAUUCCCCCAGUAGCGGCGAGCGAACGGGGAGGAGCCCAGAGCCUGAAUCAGCAUGUGUGUUAGUGGAAGCGUCUGGAAAGGCGCGCGAUACAGGGUGACAGCCCCGUACACAAAAGCGCAUGUGCUGUGAGCUCGAUGAGUAGGGCGGGACACGUGGUAUCCUGUCUGAAUAUGGGGGGACCAUCCUCCAAGGCUAAAUACUCCUGACUGACCGAUAGUGAACCAGUACCGUGAGGGAAAGGCGAAAAGAACCCCGGCGAGGGGAGUGAAAAAGAACCUGAAACCGU